GAUGAACGCUGGCGGCGUGCCUAAUACAUGCAAGUCGAGCGAACGGACGAGAAGCUUGCUUCUCUGAUGUUAGCGGCGGACGGGUGAGUAACACGUGGAUAACCUACCUAUAAGACUGGGAUAACUUCGGGAAACCGUAGCUAAUACCGGAUAAUAUUUUGAACCGCAUGGUUCAAAAGUGAAAGACGGUCUUGCUGUCACUUAUAGAUGGAUCCGCGCUGCAUUAGCUAGUUGGUAAGGUAACGGCUUACCAAGGCAACGAUGCAUAGCCGACCUGAGAGGGUGAUCGGCCACACUGGAACUGAGACACGGUCCAGACUCCUACGGGAGGCAGCAGUAGGGAAUCUUCCGCCAUGGGCGAAAGCCUGACGGAGCAACGCCGCGUGAGUGAUGAAGGUCUUCGGAUCGUAAAACUCUGUUAUUAGGGAAGAACAUAUGUGUAAGUAACUGUGCACAUCUUGACGGUACCUAAUCAGAAAGCCACGGCUAACUACGUG
rnacentral:rRNA from 1 species